UCAUUUCAUGCAGGUUUGAGUUGAGUUUAAGUCUUUGGUCUUUCCCAGUGGAUUCUGACAUCGAAACUCUGUUGUAACGCCUUUAACUCACUGGAGUUUCAUGAAGGAGGCUGUCAGGCAUGUGGUGGACUAGUGCAGAUUUCUGCAUCCGACUCCAGAGUCAUGGAAUAUUCUGGAUUCUUCGCAUGGCCACAGUUUGCUCGCUCCACAAAAAGCUGAGACAUGCCUUUGGAGAGAGGAGAGUUCCAGGAGGCAACAGAAGCACCAGCAAUGUCAACGGCUGCGGAGAUGUGAAGCAAGAUAAAGGCAGACAACACAGGCCGGGCCACAGGGUGCAGUCACAAUGGUUGACCAUUCAGCCCCUGCCUGGUUUGUCCCUGCUGAUUCAUGGCAUCGGGGCACGAGGACACAGAUCCCAACCCCCCACCACCAAGCACCACCUUAGUCUCCAAGCCCUGGGCUCUCUCUCCAGCACAGGACCAGCCUUGUGGUUAGGAGGUGUUGGCUCACUGGGAUGGGAGCUCCUUCCCGUAUUCAUUCAUUCAUUCAUUCAUUCAUCCAUUCUUCCUUCCUUCCUUCCUUUCUUUCUUUCUUCCUUUCCUUUUGGCUUUUUGAGACAGGGUUUCUCUGUGGCUUUGGAGGCUGUCCUGGAACUAGCUGUUGUAGACCAGGCUAGUCUCGAACUCACAGAGCUCUGCCUACCUCUGCCUCUGCCUCUCGAGUGCUGGGAUUAAAGGUGUGCACCACCACCACCCAGCUCCCAUAUUCUUUCUAGAGUGGCUGAAUCCUUUGAGAGAAGAUGAAGACACAGGCUGUGGAUUCUGGGCAGAUAGGAGCUAGGUGAAUUCUCACCCUUAGACGCUGUUGGGCCUGGGUCAGGAGUGGCAGUACAGCCACAGAGGAGCUUCAGGGACCAUCCCUGUGGGGUGCUGGCAAAAAGAAACCAAGACCUUCACAGUGCCCAACUUGGCUCACAUGGGCCUGGGCCUGGGCCUGGGCAGGACCCAAGAUAGUCACCCAGGCUGCAGAGAAGGUCCCACCAAACCCUUUCUCUACAUAAUGAAAAUGGGUCACAUUUCAUUAAAAGGAUUCUCUCUCUCCCUCUCUCUCUCUCUCUCUCUCUCUCUCUCUCUCUCUCUCUCUCUCUCUCUCUGUGUGUGUGUGUGUGUGUGUGUGUGUGUGUGUGUGUUACUGGGAGCAGAAUCUAGGGCCUCACGCAUUCUAGAUAGGAGCUCUGCCACUGAACUAUAUUCCUAGCUCUGAAAAAAAUAUUUUUAAAUGAGAAUGCUUUUGUGUGUUGCUUUUUUGUAUGUACAUACAUGUUCAUGUGUGCAUAUUUCAUGUAUGCAUUUUGUACACAUAUUUGGCAGUGUAUGUGGAACCCAGAGGUCAACCUUGGGUGUGGUUCCUCAGGACACCUUAUUUUUUUGAGACAGGAUCUCUCACUUACCUGGAACGUCCUGAUUCAGCUUGGUUGGCUGGGCAGUGAGAACUCGGGAGUCUGCUUGUGCUAUCAUGCCUAGAUCUUUUUACAUGGGUUCUGAGGACUGACUAAGCCAUCUCCCCAGACCCCUACAUUGCUUUCUUAACCUCUGUUCACAGAAGCAGCUCUUCUUAUUCAUGUGAGAUAUGAUUAAUAGUGGACCUGUGUCUGUCCCACCCAACCCAACCCUGUGAGAACUGGAGAGUGACUAACUUGGUAGGGAAGAAAAGAACAAAGGAAGGGCUGGGGGGGGCAUCUCAGUUUCCCUCUGACCUCCUCUGCACUCGGAUGACACUAGAUGAGUAGCCAACCAAAUGACCACAUGCAGCAAGAGGCAGUGUGGCCUCACAGGACAUGUGACUUCCUCUUUUAAAUAUGCUAAAGCCCCCGUGUGGGUUCCCUGGACUUACGACACUGUGGGUUUGGACAUUUUCGUUUCCAUUUCUUGUUAUUUUGAGGUAAACACAGUUUUUAGGAAGUCUAGAGCUCUCUGGUGUCACAGAGGAUGCUGUGGGACCUGCCCAAACGCCCUCUUCAGGGCCGUUGCCUCUGCCUCCCUCAUCUGUCCUCUAGGCAGUGCCAGCUCCCAGGAAACAGCUAAGGACAAUGGCUGAUGUGGGAUUGCAGGAACAUGGCCUGGUCACCAACGUUCAGGACAGCUUCCAAGGGCCAUCCCAGUGCCACAGCUCAUAUAGGGCCAGCUGAGAGUUCAGUUGUUACCACAUUAUGGUCACUUCUUCCUCUGCCUGGUGCUGUCUCAUCCUAUGCCCCACAGAGAGGUAAGCUGGGAGCCCCUGCGUGACAAGCUUUUUAGUCACACUUCUGCCUCUCAAAGCUCUGGAUUCCUAGGAAUGCAAUCCAGAGCCUGACUCUUGGCUCCGGAGUUUCAUGGAAAGCCAGUCACACAUCAAUAGACAAGAAAAUGCCAUGAUCUUGAGUUCCAAUACUUUCCCUAAUCUUGUCCCAUCUCUGUGGCACAAACAAAUGACCCUGAAAUUAUAACACGUGACUGUUUACUCUUCCAGUCUGCUGCCCAGUAAUGGACAGAUAAGUAGUUAUAGGUAGGUGAUGAAUGAUAGGUAUCUAAUAAAUGCAUAGGUAAUUGAUAAUAUAGAUAGGGG
rnacentral:lncRNA from 1 species